CUUGCUCUCUUGUGCUCUGGCUCCUAAAGAUGUAAGCAAUAAAGCGCUUGCACUCUUGCUCUCUUGCUCUCUUGCACUCUUGCUCUUGCUCUCUUGCUCUCUGGCUCCUAAAGAUGUAAGCAAUAAAGCUCUUGCUCUUGCACUCUUGCACUCUUGCUCUCUUGCUCUCUGGCUCCUGAAGAUGUAAGCAAUAAAGCUUUUGCCGCAGAAGAUUCCGGUUUGUUGCGUCUUUCCUGGCCGGUCGCGAACGCGUGUAAGAGAUUGAAGCAGAGCAAAUGUUAACUACUUGAGUCUGGACUUCACUUGACGGGACUGGGAAACUAAGGGAUAAUUUGAAGCUGGUGAAAGUUAUGAAAAUUAUUUUCUGGCUUGAAGACCUCCCUGAGGGUUGGGUUCGGCAGGUAAAACUUGCUGGGCAAGCCCGAUGACCUCGAUCUGAUCUCUGUAACCGGUGGAAAAGCCAGAUGCCGCGGUACAUAUCUGUAAUGGCAGCACUCUUACGGUGAGAUGCAAGGCGAAGACAAAGAAUAAUCUGGAAGGAGUGAGUGGGCCAGCUUGCCUGUGUACCCAAGAGGGCAGAAACACGAGAAGCUGUGGCUCAGUGAGGUGAAGGCACUGUCCUUUUGGCGUGGUCAGCUGCUCAGGAAACAGAACAAGAAGUGGUCUUCUGGAAUCAAAUGAUGAGGGGAACAUCAUGGUGAGGUUAAAGCCUGGUGGGGAGGAGAUAUGCUGAGAAUAGUUU
rnacentral:lncRNA from 1 species